rnacentral:rRNA from 1 species
UACGAAGGUGGCAAGCGUUGUUCGGAUUUACUGGGCGUAAAGAGCUCGUAGGCGGUUCGAUAAGUCGGAUGUGAAACCUCCAGGCUCAACCUGGAGACGCCACCCGAUACUGUCGUGACUAGAGUCCAGUAGGGGAGCGUGGAAUUCCUGGUGUAGCGGUGAAAUGCGCAGAUAUCAGGAGGAACACCAAUGGCGAAGGCAGCUCGCUGGGACGGUACUGACGCUGAGACGCGAAAGCGUGGGGAGCAAACAGG